UACGUAGGUGGCAAGCGUUGUUCGGAAUUAUUGGGCGUAAAGAGCGUGUAGGCGGCCAGACAAGUCUGCUGUGAAAACUCGAGGCUCAACCUCGAGCUGUCGGUGGAAACUGUCUGGCUAGAGUCCGGAAGAGGAGAGUGGAAUUCCUGGUGUAGCGGUGAAAUGCGCAGAUAUCAGGAAGAACACCUAUGGCGAAGGCAGCUCUCUGGGACGGUACUGACGCUGAGACGCGAAAGCGUGGGGAGCGAACAGG
rnacentral:rRNA from 1 species